UCUAAACGACUCUCGGCAACGGAUAUCUCGGCUCUCGCAUCGAUGAAGAACGUAGCGAAAUGCGAUACUUGGUGUGAAUUGCAGAAUCCCGUGAACCAUCGAGUCUUUGAACGCAAGUUGCGCCCGAAGCCUUUUGGCUGAGGGCACGUCUGCCUGGGCGUC
rnacentral:rRNA from 1 species